AGAUGACCCUAGAGAGUGGGACCCUGGAGAUUUAGAAAGCUGGGAAGUGGAAAGGGGAAGUGCCCAGAAAAGUUACCAUCAUCAGUUUGAAAGCUAAAUUGCCAUCAUUACUAGACUCUCAGCAUUCUAUCUUCAAAAAAGAAGGAGGAAGUUCCUUGCUACUUAUAUUGGAUUUGAGCAUUUUUCUUUUGCAUCUACUCUCCAAGAAUGCUUAUUAAAAUGGUGGUUCAGAGAAUUUGACAUGACGAGCUCAGCUGGUCUAAACCACCUCUCCCAUUAAAGGCUACUGAUAACUCUUCUAUAAUUUCUUGAAUGGAUGGAUCCUCACUGGUGAAUCUGAUAUUCCUCACUUUGAAGAACUGAGCCUCUAUCCACUGGGCCACCUCGCUGUCCCUGGUCCGCAUGUUCAUCUAAGACACUAUUAUUUAAGACUUUUGAACCAGUUAUAAGAUUCAGAAGGAUUCUUUAAAGAAGAAAAAAUUCCCAGGGAAAUUGGGAGCCAAUAGGAGACCAUUAAAAGGUUCCAGCCAAACCAGGUUACUUGCUGCUCCCUCCUGUUCCAGACAUUCCAUCUAUCUCCAUGCUGUUCACAGACUAUCCCCCAUGCUUGGAAUAUUCUGCUUUUUACCUGUGCCUCUUAGAACCCCUAACUUUCUUCAGGGCUGAAGAUCUACCACUUUUUUUUUAAAAAAUAAAGCUUUUAUUGCUCUGCUUCA